CUCCUGAGUUCUCACAGUUCUCUUUCCCCCGCCUCUGGUUCUUGCUGGAAUGAGCAUUAACAGCAACGACGAGGAGAGAGUCUUCUAAGAAGACAGGUGAAUUAUAUAAGAUUGAGGACAGACAGACCAACAUCUUGAUCAUCGCCUGCUGUGUGGGGUUUGUGCUGAUGGUGUUAUUGUUUCUGGCGUUUCUCCUUCGAGGAAAAGUCGCAGAAGCCAAUUGUUUGCGGAGACACAGGAGGCCAGACAACACCGAAGAUAGUAAGAGUGUCCUCAAUGACAUGUCACAAGGGAGGGAUGAUGAAGACGGGAUCUUCACUCUCUGACUUGACACAUUUACUUAGGAUUAAGCAUAAGGGACAGCACUUGAAUUGUCAAAAUAAGUUUGGGGAACUGUAACUUUCUUUUAAAGUCUCACUCUGUUUACCGAU
rnacentral:lncRNA from 1 species